UAUAACGAGCGCAACCCCUGUGGUUAGUUGCCAGCACGUAAUGGUGGGAACUCUAGCCAGACUGCCGGUGCAAACCGUGAGGAAGGUGGGGAUGACGUCAAAUCAUCACGGCCCUUACGUCCUGGGCCACACACGUGCUACAAUGGUAGGGACAGAGGGCAGCUACCCCGCGAGGGGAUGCGAAUCUUCAAACCCUAUCACAGUUCGGAUCGCAGUCUGCAACUCGACUGCGUGAAGCUGGAAUCGCUAGUAAUCGCAUAUCAGCCAUGAUGCGGUGAAUACGUUCCCGGGCCUUGUACACACCGCCCGUCAAGCCAUGGAAGCCGGGGGUACCUGAAGUCGGUCACCGCAAGGAGCCGCCUAGGGUAAGACUGGUAACUGGGGCUAAGUCGUAACAAGGUAACCGUA
rnacentral:rRNA from 1 species